CAGUGAAGAGGUAGCUGCGGCAGAUAAAAUGCAGAUAGUUUGUUACUCUUCUCUCUCUCUCUCUCUCUCUCUCUCUUUUUUUAUUAUUUUAUUAUUUUAUUAUUUUUUCCCCCCCCCAAGAACUUUCUAUUUAGACUGAUUGAACUUAUGCUGAAUAAAUUACAAACGUUCGCCAUGUUCGGCCAACUUAUUAUCGGAAAACCAUUAUAAAUCACUUGCCCAUGUGCAGAGAUCGCCCGAUGAGCAUGCUCUGCGACACGGUCGUGUCACCAGUGCGCAGUUUUUGUUUCAGCUGCAGUCCCGUUGCGCAACUUCUGAGCCUCCGUGGGUCCCUAACGCACGAAAACUCAUAGUAAAGCUGGCAAUGAGCUCCGGUACAAAGGCAAAUCAUUUGCACUGUGGCUGGAUACUGCUGGUCGCACUGGAAGAAUAAUUGAUAAGGUGAGGAGUUCGUUUGAGGGAUAGUGCCCACGUUGCAUCUUAUGCGACAAUGAGUGAGCUGCCGCAGUAACAGCAGCAGCUUGGGGUCCUACACACACAUACACAUAUAUACAUACAUACAUACAUACACACACACACACACACACAUAUAUAUAUAUAUGUAUAUAUUACACAGAGACACUACACUAAAGUACAGUACACUACUCACUGCACUACUCAGUCAAUUGCAUUUGGAUGUGCCAAGCAAGCAAGCGAAGCGAAGCAAGGCAGACACAUACGCACUUGCACAAAAAGAUGCAUGACCCCGUUGCGUGUCCUUCCUUGUGCUCUCUCUCUCUCUCUUUUUAUUUUUCUUCAUUUUGUGCUCCAUUCCUGUCUUGUCCUGUCCUGGCCAAUGCAACUCCUUCUUUUCCUUUUGUUUUGUUUUGUUGCCUUUCCAUCAUCGAUGUGUGUGUGUCUCUGUCUAGAGACCCAUCUCGCGUCGUGGAUCGCGACGCCAAUCGAUGAGCUCCGAGCGUGACACGCAUCUCGUUCUCUCCUCUUUUUUCCGUACUUUCUUAUUACUUUUUUCUUUCUGUAUUUCAGUUGCUACUUUUUGGAAUCGAAAGAGAGAGUCAACCUUCGUUAUUGAGGAUACAUAAAUACAUAAUUUGUGUGAAAAUAUAUGUAUAUGUAUAUAUAUAAUAAUAUAUAUUAUAUUAUAUUAUUAUAUAUUAUAUUGUUUUGUUUUAUAAUAUAUUAUAUAUAUAUAUAUAUAUAUAUAUAUAAAUAUAUAUAUAAUAUGUUUCUAUUACAUGUUUCAAUCGAGUGUGGUGGGCGAGACCCAACCACUUGCUUGGGUCCUGUAGUUGAUCUGCUUGGAUAUUAAAAAGCUUUAGCAAUUGAUGUACAUGGUAAAUUAUUGUACCACAAUCAUAUAUAUAUACAUAUUUAUAUAUAUAUAAAUGUAUAAAUGUAUGUUUUUUAAAUCAAAUUUAUGGGCAAAGAGUGAUUUGGAAAUAGAACCCAAUAUUUUAGAAUUGUGAUUAUGUAUGAUGGCUAAGUUUACUUUUUUAUUCGGAACACAAUAUCUAUUGCAUAAGUAUAGUAGUUUGUAGUGCCAGAUUAUUGGAUCUUUUUAAAUGUUCAAUGUUAGUUUUACUAGUUACUUUUUUAUUUGAAUUUAUUAGCAAAAACAAGAGGAAUUAAAAUAAAGAGGUUGAAAAGAGUAUUUUUGAAAAAAAUAAUAUUGAAUGAUGAAAGUAGGAAGAUACUUGGGAAGAACUUAUUUGAAAAAAUUAGUAUUUACAAAUGAGUGCAUUAUAAAAAAAAAAUGUUAAUUCUUUUAAAUAAUAAUAGGAAGAAAGAUCCACCAAUAAAAUUGAAUACUUUUCUAGGUUUUUCACAAGAAAUGUAUACCUAUCAGAUGAUUUGAGUUUAAAAGUCAUAUAUUAAUGUUUUAUUAAAAAAAAAAAAAAAAAAAAAAAAAUCACAUGUUUGGAAUAUGGUACAAUAGAAGGCUAAAAGUCUGUGGUUUGACAAAAUAAAAAAUCUAACUUGAUUGUUUUAUUGGUUAUAUUUUUAUUAUGAAAUAUGAUCUGAUUUUUAUUUAUUUUUUAUUUUUGAUAUUUCUUAUAUAAAACAGCUAAGAGGAUAAACUAGAGAAGACAUAAACCAUCUUUGAUUUGCUACAUAUGUCAUUGUAUUUAUCAAAAGUAAAACAAAAGAAAGCAAUAACUCAAUUUUUGAUCAACAUCUACAUGUUGAUGUACAAAUUCCAAAGAGUAGUAUUGCAAGAUUAAUAUACAUGGAAUUAUUCCACAAAUUAAACUUUUACAUUUUUUUUUUUUUUUUUUUUUUUUUUUUUGUAAUCAAUGACAUAUGUUUUUUUUAAUAUAUAUAAACACAUACAUAAAUAUAUAGUAUUGGUGAAGAAGACUCAUCUUACACUUAUUGAAGGUAACAAUGGAUGAUCACUUGCAUUAAGAGAUGUUAUUGAAGAAACACAAUCUUCACAAAUGAUAUUAGGAGAUCAAGUAUUAUGUGUUGUCUUCAACAUCAUUCAAUGUCCUGCAAAUCCUAUUGUCAUUGAACUCCCUUGGUUUGAAUUACAUAAUCUUGAUGUUAAUUGGAAUCUUUGUAAAAUUUCUUCAAGAUCAAAACAUCAAAGAAGGAAACAAGUUACAUCAUUUCUUAGAACUAUUGCCUUUAUGCAUACAACAAAGAAUGGUGUUGCAUUUGCAUUAUAUGCUACUCCAAUAAAAAAAUUUAAUUGAAUAAGUUUUAUAAGAUAUUCUAAUUCAAUAUCAAGAUUUUAAAGGUAUUUUUGAAAAAAAAUUGAAAACAUGCUAUCAUUAAAAUGAACAUCAAUCUUAUGGUUGUGCUAUAGAAUUACAAAAAAGAGCUCAAUUACUAUUUGGACCAAUAUAUAAUCUUUUUCAAAUAGAGUUAAUAGCCUUGUGGGAAUACAUUUAAGAAAAUCUUUUUAAGAAUUUCAUUUGAUACUCAAAAUUAGUUGUUGGAGUAUUUAAACUUUUUGUAAAGAAGAUAGAUGGAUUUUUAUGAAUGUGCAUUGAUUAUCAAUAUUUAAAGAAGAUAAUGGUAUAGAAUUGUUAUUCAUUACUAUUGAUAUUAUGAUUCCUUGAACAACUGGGACAAGAAAAGAUCUAUAUAAAGAUUGACUUUUGUGGAACUUAUAAUUUGAUACACAAUGAAGAAGGGAAUAAAUAGAAGACAUCUUUUUGGACAAGAUAUGAGCAUUUUGAGUACAACGUCAUGCCUUUUGGUCUAAUCAAUGCAUUAGCUAUAUUCUAACAUUUGAUAAAUGAUGUUUUUCAAGAAUUCUUGGAUAAAUUUUUUGUUUGCUAAGGUUCAAGCUAGUAAAGAUUGAAAAAUUCCUAAGACAAUUUGAGAUGUAAAAUGUUUUCUUAGUUUUGCUAAUUUUUAUCAAAUAUUUAUUAAAAACUAUUUUCAAGUGGCGGCUCUUUUUACUUGAUUAACAUAUAAAGAUAAGUUGGAAAAGGGGCCUCAAGUAAAAUAGCUUUUCAAGACCUUAAGAUGACUUUUAUUUUAAUUCUAAUUCUAGUACAUCCAUAUUUUUAAAAAAAAAUUUAUAUAGAGACUUAUAUUUUGCACUAGAAGUUGUACUAUCACAAAAAAAAAACAAAAAAGAAAACAAAAACAAGAAACUAUAUCUAGUGGUAUUUUAUUCUUAAAAGUUUUUAAUUGCUAAGAUUAAUUAUGAAAUCUAUAAUAAAGAAUUCCUUGCUAUUAUAGAUUUUUUUUAAAAAUAAUAUCAUUUGCUUGAAGGUGCUUCAUAUUUAGUGACUAUAUAUAUAGAUCACAAGAAUCUUCAAUAUUUUAUGAUGGUUCAUGUUUUAAAUUGUUGCCAAACUCAAUGGAAUAUGUCUCUAUCUUGUUUUGGCUUCAACAUUACAUAUUGACCUAAAAUACAACAAAGAUUAUUAGAUGCUUUAUCUAAGCAAUCAUACCUUGUGCCAAAAGAAAGAAAGAUAGCAUAUAAUCAAGAAUAGAUAAUACUCUUAAAACCUAAGCACUUGUAAUUUCAAGCAACCAUUAUGUCAAUUUUAAUGGAUUCUUUAUUUUUUUAUUCAGAUUUAUACAACAUUGGCUAUGGAUCUUCUUGCCUUUGAUAUUAAAUAAUAUAUUAAUAAUAUUUAAGAUAAUUCUAGCAAAUUUAAGUUUAAAGAAAACCUUCUUUACUUUGAAGAAUGCCUAUAUAUUCCUAAAGAACUUGCAUGCCUUUGUGUUUUCUAAGUGCAUCAUGACUUUCUUGCUGUUGCACAUUUUGAAUGCAACAAGAUAUUAGAACUUAUUUUUUAUGACUUUUAGUGGCCUAAGUUGUAAAAGACUAUCAAAAAAAAAUUUCUUUCAUGAAACUUUAAUUAGAAGAAGCUCAACAAAGAUAUAAAAUAAGAAAAAAUAUACUUAAAUAAAAACAACCUUCUUUUGGAAUUGAUGAUAAGGUGUGGCUCCUUUAAUACAAUAUAAGGACAAGUUGACCAUGCAAGUAAUUGGACUAUUGAAGAUUAGGGCCAUUUCUUAUUUCGAAGCAAAUUAAUCUUGUCGCUCAUUGUUUUGAAUUAUUAGUAUUGAUAAAAAUACAUUAUAUUUUUCAUGUUUCUCUUUUUGAAUCUUAUAAAGAAUCAUGCAUAUUAGAAAGAAUACAAGCACCAUUGGGAUAUAUUAAAAUAGAUAAUAAUAAAAAUUUUGAGAUAGAAGAAGUAGUUGAUUCAAAGAUAUCACAAGAACAAUUGGAAUACUUUAUAUAUUGGCAUGGUUAUACUAUUAGUCACUGCACAUAGAAGUUUACUCAAAAUUUAGUAAAUGUACCUCAAAAGGUACAAGAUUUUCAUCAAUAAUGUCCUUCCAAAUUAAAAGUAGCAACACGUGUGAUAUUUUCAUGAUAUCUAGUAAUCUAGGCAUGUAUAAUAACUACUAAGUAAUAUUGCCAUAAUAUCUAGUCUAUGAGGAUGAACAUUGCACUUCCAAAGAUUUCUAGAUUACUUUACAAAAAAGAGAGAAGUAACUUUUUUUUUUUUUUUUUUUUUUUUUUUUUUAAAUUAAGACUCUAUAGAAUAUAUAAGUAGCAACUCAAAUCUAUUAAAUUGAACCUUAAAUUUGGUAGUUUUUCUUGUUUUAGCUUAAUAGUUUCAAUUAUAGAUAGUUAAAAAAAUGAUAGUUUAUAUGUUGGACCAUCUCAUCGAAGUAGUUUAUAUCAUCAAUCUUGAGAGGAAGAAUUUUUUGAACUGCAAAGAUGUUAAAGAAUAUCUAACAAUUGAUGAUUUGUAAUCAUCAUUGAAGUAGAAUAUGCUCAUAGAGAUUGUCUAAAAAUAAUCUUUGAAGGAGAUUUUUAUAGUAAAGAUAUUUAAAUACAAGCUUAGUCUUAAAUGAAAGAUGUUGGUUAUUACCAAUGGUUGCAAGGACCAAUAAGCCUCUUAACCUAUAAAAAACAAUAUAAAUAUAUUACACAAACCAUGAGGCUUAUCUUUGAUUUUUUUCAUCUUUGAGCAAUUAUAGCUUAACUAUUCCUUGCGAAACUUGGAACCAAAGGAAGAGGUGAUGUCAUGAACAUCCAUCUAGAGAAGAUUUUAAAAAAUUAUCAAAGGUUCUAGAAGAUCUUAGAAGAUUUUAAAAAUUUCCAAAAGAGGUUUAUAAAGUUGAUUAACUCCCAAGUAAUGUAGAAAGUUACAAGAGAAGGUUCUUGUGGUUGAUUCACAAUGAAGCAACAAUGAAACUCCUCAAGAAGCAUCCUAGGAUGAUUUGGAGGCAAAGCCUUAUCUAAAAGCUUUCUAAAUCCUAGUAUAUAUAAGUAUUGAAGUUCAAGGUCUUCUUGUUUUAAACAAUAUAUGUUAUGUGGUUUAAUUUUGGACCUUUUAGUCUAGUUCUUGUUCUAUUAUUGUAUUGUUUAAUGAUAAGACUCAUAUAUCUUGUUAUAAUAUUGCAUAGUCCUUAGAUCUUCUGUAUAAUAUCUUAAUGUGUGUUGAUUUGCUCUUCUGAAAUCUUAGUAUUGCAAGAUCUUUAUUAAAAAAUACAUACAUGAUGUCUCACAUAUAUGAUGUCUUGCAAUGGUGCAUAGACAUGCACAUACAAUGCUCUCACAUGCAUAUAAAAUGUCUUGUAGCAUGAGCAAAACAUUCCCAUGCAUGUCAAGGCCAUGUGAAUUGGCAAUAGCUAUUGUCAAUAGCUAUACACUAAAAUUUUGAAUACAUAUAUAUAAGGAGAUUGGUUUUGGAAUAGACAUGUGCCUUAAUAUUUAAGAAGUGAAGUAUGUGAUGAGCAUUACUUAGGUGAUUCAAGAAGCAAGUUUUUGCUUAAAGCAAUUUUUAUCAAUGAAUCCAAAACUUCAUAGCCUUAUUAAAGAUAGAAUCAAUAAAGACAAAGAGACAUAGACAAACUUCAAGCAAGUAUGAAACACAUAAUAUCAUGGUACAAAAAUAACAUCCAAAGUCUUAUAAAAAUUAGUUUGCAUAUUGAACAUAUUAUUAUUAGAAAAAAAAAAUGCUUAGUAUGUUGAGAAGUGUGAUUUUGGUACUACACUCCAACAAUGUGCAUAUUAUGAUCUAAAGCACAAUUAUGAAUGAUCAAAGCAAAGUUCAUUAUUUUGUCGAGGAAAUCAAAGAAUUGCAACAUCUUUGUCCUUCGCUACUAAAGGUAGACAUCUUCACCCUCUUAAGAUGUAUGUAGCCAAAUUUACAAAUUCAUGCAGCUUUGCUAUACUAUUCUCUAGCUAGCUCCGUCAACUAUCACUAGUUUGAUAUCAAUGACUUAUAUGUGUAUUUGUAGAAUUUAUAAUACACAAGCAUUAUUUCUACAUGGAAUUCUAUAAUGCAAUAGUUAAAAAUGAUAUUAAGAGUGUUGCACUGGUGUCAUAUAGAGAAUAAAUUCUACCACAUUGUAACUAUAGCACAUAUCCAAACAAAAGAAAUAAUUAUCAAUAGCCAUAAUCAUAGUUGAAACCAUAGGCCUAAAUAGAAAAAAUGUGCAAAGAGUAAAGGUUUCUUAUAUCAAAAAGGUUUCCAUUGCAACAUUAUCAAAAAGCUUGCAUUAAACAUAUUUUGUCAUACAAAGCAUUUGAUAGAUUCUACCUACAAUACAUUAUGGAUUGAGAUUUCAUUUGUUUCAUGCCCUGGUUUUGUUAAGGCCUUGUAAAUUCUAAUUUUGAUUCACUUUUCACAAAAAUAAUGAUACAUGCAACCAAGCAAAGAAGGUUUUUGUCUCCUCUUGUUUGUCUCUUGAGAUGUUUUAUAUAAUAGACUAGUAGAAAUCCAUGUUGUUGACUAUAAAAAGAUUAUAAUAUAAUAAAUGCAUUAACAAAUGAAAUCUUUGUAUUGAUUAAGUUAUAGCUCAUUAAAUAUAAAUAUAAUAGGAAAGAAUAAUCACUCUACUAAUGCAUCUUUAUAUGCUAUGGUUUGGCCAUUGGUGCAUACCUAAUCAAAAACAUCAAAAUGCACAACCUCCUUUGUGCUAAGAGGCCUAACUUGGACUAUGACAUAUAUCUUCUCUUCUCCGCUCUUGACUUGUGUAAAUUGAGUUGCUCCACCUCUAUCAAUAGCAACAAUCAUAGUUAAGACCAUGUUGAGUAUGUGAAUUAAACCACCACCAACCUCCUUAAGAUUGUAACUUAGUUGUAGAAUCAAAGUAUGUCUUUUUAGCAUGCAAGAAAACAUAUCUUGAAAGGCAUUUCAUUGUUACCCAAGUAUAGUCCUUCUUCAACGUUUUUAGUUGUUGCUUGGAAAUGCUAUGAGAGCAUACCUUAGCUAUGGCCGAUUAUGUAGUUUGCAUGUAAUAGAUAUUUAUAUUUGGCUAAGGUUGAAACUCAACGCCAUAUUACUAGCACAACAAAAAAUAAGAGUAAAAUCUCUCAUUAAUAUAACAGGCUGGGAACAAUUCCAUAGGGCACAUUUUCUUUGGUAGGAAACCGUAAAAAGAAACACGUCUCAUCGUAAUAUACUCAUUUAGCCAUCACCAGUGGCAAUGGCGAGCAGACAACGACAGCAGAUAUCCUUCAUUCAAUGUGGAAUCUAGCGAAUAGAAACGAACUGAUGUAACUUCUACAGAUUCGAGUGUUAUUUUCAAUCUGAAACAAUUUCAAAUGAUAGUCAUUGGCCCACAGGACUACAUGUUUCUGAGCAAUAUCUGUCAGAAAACAAUCUUAUUACACUACGAAAUCUUGGCAAAUAUAUCUGGAAUGAUCCGAUGAACUGGAAAAACUCAGUUCUGUCCGCCAAUUUUCAGUUGAGGUAAGAACCUCAAUCCAAUGGAGACAAUUACGUCCACUCGCCUAGGAAGAAUACAGAAAUUACGAAGUGGAGGUCAGAAAUAGUUAAGCUUCACCAUGUUGCCGCUUCCCCAUAAUGCGUUUCAUAUCCGGCAUACACCCACUUGGUUUGCAGGUUGAUAUUUCGAAGGAACUCACAGGACUGAAUGCAGGAGGUACUGCAGCAAGUGAAGGUUAUGAGAGUUGCUGCUAGUAGGGCUUCUGGCACAGGUAGGUAGCUACUGCAUGUGGGGCUUCAAUUGAUGUUGAACUCAAGCAGCAUGUGCAACAAGUCGAUCGAUUUGUUUAUCAUCAGAUCCAGCCUUCGCCUCGGGAGUUGAAUCCUCACUUGGAGGCACAAGUUGCCAAAACUGUGGGAUAACCUUGUCCCAAUUCUCCAGGACAUACUUCCCCUUGGCACUCCCUGUCUUCUCCUGUUCCGCAAUCCCCAGAAAAGGCAGAGUUAGAUGACAUGAUAAUAAAUGCAAAAAUGAGCAUACAUGAAAAUUAGUUAAAUUGACACACGCAGGAAAUUAAAAGGUCGUACUGUAUGGGACUGGAUGAGCAGCCUAAGUUGUGCUUGCCCAGCAGGAGUUGUGACGCGUUGCAUUUUCACUAUCUCCCUGUUCACCUGUCAACAUAGGUUAAAUAAAUCGUUCAGGAAUACGUACAAGAAAGUCCAGUCUUCUAGUAUUACUAAUUCAAGCAUUGCACUCAAAGAAAUCGCAUUGUUGGGAGUUAAUAAUGUAAAUUAACUCCUAACGCAUAAUUUGUAGAUGUUGCAGAAAUACCUGGGGCGUGAAAGUAUCAUCUUCGUCCAGGAAAUAAGCUAAGCCACCAGUCAUUCCGGCGGCUACGUUGCGACCAACCCUAUAUCACACAUCCGUCGAGCAGGUGUAACACACCACAAUUUUAGACCAAAACCCAUCCAUCCCAUCCCAAAUGGGGAAUUUGAUCAAGUUUCCUGCUAUCCCAAACCUCAAAAGAUGCAUACAUAUCAGCUCAGUGUAAGUUCUGCAACGACUUAAUUUUUACUAGGAACUGUCAUACUCACUUGCCAAGGGACACUACACAACCACCGGUCAUGUAUUCGCAGCAAUGGUCGCCAGUCCCUUCAAUUACUGCUUCUGCCAUAGAGUUCCGCACAGCAAAUCUCUCGCCUGCUUUACCCCUCACAAAUAGCUGGCCUCCUGUAGCACCAUACAGACAAGUAUUGCCUACUAUAGUUGCCUCCUCUGGCACGUACCCACAGUUAUCAUAUGGAACCACAACAACCUCUCCUCCUGCCAUUCCCUGCCAAGAAAUACGCAGUAGAUGCAAUGUCACUUCCUUUGUUAGAUACAACUUCACCAGAAAUAACAAAAGUUGCGCUUGAAACAUGCGAGAGAACUGUAUCCCAUAUUUGCAGUCAACCACACACGUCGUAAUUAUUCCUGGAAAGACAUUACAGCGGAACGAGGGGCAUGUCCUGUGGAUGAAAUACCUUGGCAACACCAUCAUUUGCUUCUCCAAUUAGACGCAAGUUUAUUCCUGGAGUCAAAAAACAACCAAAUGACUGUCCCGCACUUCCAACAAACCUGCAAAGGAAGUAGCACUGAUCAGUUUCCAUUGCAAUCGAAGUAGAACGUCCUGCUGAUGAAAAAAGGUGGUACAGCAAACACAAUCAACGUCAAAUCUAAUUCUCAGUUCACGUCUCCACCAUGCUGAAUCCAAGGUUAAUUUAUGUUAUUUAGAAAAUGAUGUACCGCUGCAUAAAGUAGGUAUUCUUCAUGCUCAACUACACCAGCAGCCAAGCAACACGAAAACAACGUAACUUACGUUAGAUUGAGCCGCCCUGGGAAUCCAUUAUCCCCAUACUUUUUAGAAAUUACACCAGCUAAACGUCCACACACAGAGCGAUCAACAUUGAAUAUUUUAAUAGUCUUCUCAAAUGUUUUCGCCUUCUCAAUAGCCUCUGCAAUCUGCAAAUGACAAUUAGUACAUCUUGAAUCACAUCACGCUAGUAAUUAGAUCUGUCAAUGCACUAAUGGGUUAAAUGUGGCGGGGAGCAAGUCGGUAGAUCUCACAAUCUCACAAGAAGCUUCUGCUUAAAUUCUGUGUUUAUCUGGUUAUAAUUUCUGUAGGUGCUUCCCAUAGUAGGCGCCCCUAUCACGCAAGGUUGUGUUUCUGCGAUUGUAACAGUAAAACUACUGAACAAGUCUCGAGAAAAUUAAACCCUCCAAUAUUUAACGAUGAUAACUCCAAGAAGAAGUUUAACGCUAUGCAAACCUCUGGAUCAGAUAGAAGAAUGUCAUCUAAAAUGACACCAUUGGAAUGAACCUCCUGCCCACGAAUCUGUGUACUGCUCCACUUGGGUAAUCCAACACUCUGCACAGAUCUCCAAAUGAUUGAUCUUGUGACUAAUAUGAGAGAUUAUUUUCAUCAAAAAAUAUUAAGUGUGACAUAGUGGCAUUGUGCAGCAUUUCAAGACCAAAAGCUACUCCAAAUCCUGCUCGCAUGACCAAGAAUGAAUGGAUUAAGAUAACUUGCCUUCAAAAGGAAACUGAGAUCCAAGGGGUUUGUCUUUCGGAGUUUGACGUUUCUUGGCCGAAGCAGGUCAGUUCGUCCAAUAAUAUCAUCGAGCUUCUGAUACCCUAGAUUAGCCAACAUACCUCGCACCUGCAGAGAUGCACACGAUGAACCAUAUUCCACUGAUACAUGUACCAUUUUUUCCAUAGACAUGGAGUGCUUACAUGUGUAAAGAAAGCCCACCUCUUCAGCGACAUAUAAAAAGUAAUUCACAAGAUCUCCGGGAACACCAGGAAACCGAGCGCGCAACUCCUCUCUCUGCAAGCAGAAAACGCAAUUCGUGUAAGGCUGUGAACAAUGCCACGGGACGAUAUCACUGAAGAUAUACUUGCCGGCAAUAUAUCCCUCGGGAUUUCAUAAAAGAGUCGGUUAACUAGACAAUAGUUUAAUUAAAACACAUAAAUGGCAGUAGGAAGACAUUUAGUAUUAAUCAAUCUUUACCACCAGAAACUAAAUGUGCGUCAUAAAACAAAAUUAUGAUAAAUCCUUUGUAAAACUACCGAGACAGACACUACGAUAAAAAAUAAAAAUAAAACUAACCUUAUUUUUUUGACAAACAGUGUGUCUAACAGUACGCAACAGUAUCUAUGCAUUACCUGACUUGCAACUCCAACAGGGCAAUUAUUGGUAUGGCAAAUACGUGCCAUAAUGCAACCUGUGGCAAUCAUAGCAACAGUACCGAAGCCAUAUUCAUCAGCACCCAUGGCUGCUCCCAUCAUCACAUCGACUCCACUCUUGAAGCCUCCGUCUACUCUGAGCAUUACUCUUUCCCUAAGACCAUUCUUGAGGAGAUCCUGUCAUCAAAGCAGUCACAGAUCGUUUUUAAGAAAACCCUCAGUUGGCCAGGAACCAACCCUCUAUCAAUGAGAGGUGAUUUUAAUGUAAAUAGAUGGAGGGAGACGUCCAGCAGAAGCAUAAACUGCAACUUAACUAUUCGAACACCAUUAGAACUCUUAUAAUAAUCAGCAUGAAGACACAUCAUAUCUACCAAAUUCUUUAAUGAAAAAAAAUCAUGUUGUAACAGCUAACCUGAUGUGUUUCUGUUAAACCAAGCUCCCAAGGACCCCCAGCGUGCUUGAUCGAGCUAAUGGGGCUAGCCCCAGUUCCUCCAUCAUAUCCUGAAAUCUGCUCAUUCAAUCGAGCAUUGCAAAGCCAAAAGAUAGCCAUCAACCCAGAACAAGUUAAGACUAUUGAUUCUUAAAUUGCUCAAUUAUAUAUGAAUUAUACAAUGACGAGGCAAUUCCAAACGAUAAUUUUCGCCUAUUUAAAGCCCGUGUAUGGUGAAGACAUCAAAUCAAGCCCUCUCAAUAGAAAAUCAUAUCUGGAGCUUUCAAAUGAGACCAGAUGAAUCGAAGUCCAGAACAUAACAACUUUCCCAGACGCAAGUAACACAGCUAUUCACAGCUGCUCUUAUUUAUGAGCUUUCAUGGUUUGAGUAAUCAUAGAAACUAAUUCCACUAGAGAGAAAUUUCUCACGACAAGUUUAAUGCCAUAUUCAAGGUGCAGAGUAUUCAAUUUCACUUCAAAAGAUAUUUCUAGUAAUAUGUUGCCAAUUAUCACAACUCCUCUUUUUGUAAUCUCAAAAGAUUUCUUCCCAGUUUCGUAAUUGACAACUCAAAAGUUGACAGGGUUGAUAACACAGAACAUACUUAAAUCUGUCGAAGUGCGAAAAGUAUACCUGUAUUAUAUCUGCGUUAGCUUUAGCAACUCCACAAGCAACUGUACCGAUUCCAACUUCUGCUACAAGCUUCACCGAGACUUUGGCUUUGGGAUUAACCUGCGACAAAACCAAUGAGGAGUGAGCGACAUAGAACAGGAUUCGAUGGAUUAAGUCGCAAUCGACAUUCCUUCCAGCUAAAGCACUAGGUAUAUAAGGAUAAUGAGCAGAUUAGGGUUGAAUUUUUUAUUUUACCUGGUGAAGAUCGUAAAUUAGUUGGGCAAGAUCUUCAAUGGAGUAUAUAUCAUGAUGUGGAGGUGGAGAGAUCAAUGGGACACCAGCUUUUGAAUUACGCAAAGUAGCAAUAUAUGGACUAACUUUUUUUCCAGGAAGCUGUCCACCUUCUCCGGGUUUAGCACCCUGAGCUAUCUUUAUUUCCAAUUGGUCUGCAUUGGCCAGAAAUGUAGGUGUCACACCAAACCGCCCCGAAGCAACCUGCAAAGAAACACCAUCAACAACUCGACGUGUAUAUAUAUAUAUAUAUAUAUAUAACGUAAAAAUAAAAAUAUCAGAAUAAAGCCCAUAGAAGUCACGUCGAUUUCCGAUAGAAGCCAGAGACAGAAGAAGUUGAACAUACAAGUGGCAAUUCUUUCGACCUUAAAGCUCAACUCUGAUAAGCAUCCAAGUAAAACUUAUCUAAAGACAGUAAACGCCUAUUGUAUCCAAACCUGCUUGAUGGCACUCGAUGCGUGAUCUCCGUUCUUCAAUCCCCUCAGAUGAGGAAGCAAGGGCGACAAACCAUCAACGACAUCCUCCAGAUGCUUCCAUCUCACGGGAUCCUGAUAACAUAGUUUCCAGCUCUAUGUUAGUUGUCUAAAAAUUAAAAUAGUGGGAGAUUCGAAACUUCACCAAAGAUGGCCUCCAUACAUGAAGAAAUUAUCUAGUUACAAGGUCUCACAAACUGGAAAAUCCAUGUUGGAAAAGCGAUAGCGAAUUCCCAGUUGUAUUACAAAAAUAUGGGCAAAGUAGGAUUCUAGCUUAGGUUACGCUGUUUUUGGCUACUUACGUUACCAAAACAUUUACAAUAUGACCUCGGGAUCCUUUGGGCUUUCCCAUCAUUAACUUCCAGGUGAUAUCAAAAACCGCAACAAGAAAAAUUCAGAGAUAAUGGAAAAGAACAUGAUACCAAGGCAUUCAACAAGUCGCUGGUUCCAACUGCUUUGUUUUUCGAGUUACCAUGUCCAACACAAGGUGAUUUCAUGGUCGCAGAGACGGAAAUGAUGGAAGUGAUUUAUUCUUACCUCACCCCCUUCUCCUGAAUUAGAUUUCCCGCCUAUUCUGUUCAUGGCUACCGCAAUAACUUCAUGAGUUUCUCUAGAAAUGGCUCCCAAGGACAUCCCUCCUGUGCAGAACCGGGAUACAAUAUUCGAGGCUGAUUCCACAUCCUCGACGGGAAUGGGUUUCCUGUCUGACUUAAACUCCAGCAUGUCACGAAGAACCUGACAUAGAAUACAAGGCAGUCAAAAAAUGAUAUUAUAAUUUCUGAUUAUUCUUCAAAUGUUCAUGAGAAACAAAUUGACUAUGUUUUCCACGUGAACUAAAUACAAAUGAACUCAAGGAACUGCUGAGAAAAAGAUGGUACAUUGACAGGUCGACUAGCAAGAUACUCUAGAUAUACAGCAUACGCAUCCCUGUUUCCCUCCCUAACUGCCUUGUGAAGCAGCUUUGACAUCUCUGGAUUGUUGCCGUGAUAUUCACCUGCAGCAUAAACAGCAAGCAUUCAAAAUUAUGCGUUCUACAAUGGUUUUCAAGAAUACAAUAAACGAACAUCAUCAAUAACCAAACAUACCGCGAAAAUAACAACUUUUACACCAAGGCCGGCUAACAUGCUAACAUAGAAGGUUCGAUCAAGAUGGUUAAGAGAACAAGUAAAAUCUGUUCGAUCAAUAGGGUUUGAUGAAAUCGAGUUCUCAUGUAGCGUUGACCAGACGUCAAGCCAACUGCCUCACUUACCACCUGGUCUCGACUGUAUAAAGCCAUAGUUUUCCAGCUUUCUUGCUGAGUCUUCACCAAAACCUUUCGACCAAAAUGAUACAGUUUCCCACGCCACCUGGUCGCCAAAAUGCACAUGAAUAUUCUAAACCUUAAGACCUUGUCAAAAUUUGAUCUACAUAAUAAUUUCGAUGUGGUUGUCCUUUAGGAACAUUCUGAGAUGCAGUCUAAAAACCUGAGUACAGGCACACUAGUCUCGAACAUUCAAAAUUGAGGACUUCAUCAUCUUUCUUACCUCAUCAAGCGUUAAGCCACCUAUACGAGAUACACUCCCACGAAAAGCAAGGUCCACAACUUCUCGGCCCAACCCAUAAAUUUCAAAAAUUUGAGCACCGUGGUAGCUGCAUUCCCACUAUCAUGAUCAGUGAAGCUUUCAUGGAUGUUGAAGCUAUCUCUUACACACACACACACACACACACACAAUUCAUGCAUUAAAAUGGUACGCACACGUGUUGGCCUUGUAUUAUCAGACAAAGGAACUGAAACUAGACAUAAUUAACUAUGUCCAACAUUCGCAUUACUGAGUAGUAUCCAACUUUCAUACCUCGUCAUCAGAGAUAUGCCCAUUUUGGAGAGGAUCUUCAAAAGGCCCACCUUUGCAGCCUGCAAACAUUGUAACUUUGAGUUAGCAUUAGCGCUCUCAACUAUAAUCUCGCACUUCUGUUACUGUCAUUGAAAUCAAUUUUUUCCAGAAUGCUAACAACCUUGACGUAGUUUGCUUGAACUUGCUCAACAGAAGAUGUUGGGAUUUUCCCAUUCUUCAUCAAUGCUAUUGUUUUAGUACUCCCGCGCCACUGUCGACAGGUCUCUAGUGCUAAAUAAGGACAAAUACCACUGCACAUACCACAAGACAAGGCAAACUUAAAAUCACAGUUGAAGAGUACGGAGAUUGCAUUAAGCACUGACGCAAACAGAAUGACAACUGUCAACUGAAGGAGAUACAUUACCAAAAGAAAUACUGGUAGAAAAAUCACUACAUUUUUGUAGAAGUAGCAUUUUCAUAUUGGUACUAAUUGAGCAUCAACUCUAAUUGUUCCAUCCAUUGCCGUGCGUUCAAGAUGACAUUUUGCUUCGAGUUUCAAUUACAACAAGCAAGUCUAUGGCCUUGUCCCCGGACAGAACUUUUCCAUAACAAUCGAAAAGCAACAUAACCUAUGUUCAGGGAAUGCGCAGCAUGUACUAAGUUUACUCACCUGGCACCAUAGCCAAUGAGACAAGCAAAGUGAUGUGUACUGAAGCACUGUGCAGUGUCAACAAUGAUGCUGGCUGACAUUCUCAAUCCAUUAGAGAUGAGGUGGUGAUGCACUGCCCCAACUGCCAGAAGUGGAGGAAUUGCGGGCUUUUCUGGAUCCUUGUGUUCAGCCAAUCCAGAUCGGAUGCAUAGUUAGAAAGAAUGUAGGCAGAAACACUUCCUACUCGCGAACUGUAAUUGUUGUUUCGGUAUAUAAUUUAACUAUCCUGAAGAAAAUCUAAUAGGUUUGCCAUUGUGAUCUUGACUACAUGAAAUCUAAUCGUGGAAAGGAAUAAUCAGAGGAUUAAAAUGAUAACAUUCUCGAAUGUAUAUACGAGAUAGGAAAGAAAAUUAGAACUUACUAAAUGAUUAUUGCGGUCACUCAGAAUAAUGAGCUGAGAGCCUGCACGCACAGCAUCAUCUGCAGCUCGGCAUAAGCUGUCUAACGCGCUUUGAAGCGCUCCAGGUAUCCCUUUACUAAUAUUGAAAUAAGUACGCAACGUCUUGGCUUUAAGCACGUUGUCCAUCUUCAAAAGUUCUAGCUCUUUUUCGUUGAGCACUGGACUCAAAAGGGUCACCUAUACAUAAAAACCGGCGGACAGGAAUUCCAAAAUUAGAACAAAAGAUAUUCUCAAUCAGUUAGAACAUGCACUUCGAUAAAAGGAUCAGUUUUUGAUUAACUAUUGUUUAACAUUUCAAAUCCUGAUCACAAGUAGAUAGAUCUUCAAGAAAAAAGAACGGUUCAAAGGUGUCACAAUUGUAGCAAUUGCACCUGGGCUGCAUUCUGUGGGCCAACUUCAAGCAGGUUCUCUUUCUUUCCGACAGCGAUCUCUAGCGACAUGACAAGGCCCUCUCGCAAUGGAUCGAUGGCAGGAUUUGUGACCUGAGCAAACCGUUGCUUGAAGUAGUCAUACAACCAAUGCGACUUUUGAGAGAGAACAGGCAUCGGAGUAUCAUCACCCAUGCUGAAGGUAGGUUCCUUCCCCUGCGACGCCAUGUUCUCUAUGACCAUUUGCACAUCCUCGCUGGAGUAACCAAAGCAUCUAGCAUAGGUCAUGCAAACGACCAUGCACAUAUAUUCAACUCCCCGUUUAACAAUGAAUCAAAUUUAACACGAAGAUAGAAUCGAAACUUCAGCGGCAAAAAUUUGAGUAUUUUGGCUCGGAUUGUAAAAUACUUUCACAAAAUAUGAACAAAAACUAUCUUUCUAUUCUGCUGAAAUUCAUCCUACAAAAUUGGCGUUGAUUGAACAGGUUACUUGAUUUUUGCAGUUAGAAAAAAAUAUAAUCAAAUUAUAUCUUGAAAAUAUGCAUUCACCAGAAAAUCCAGUAGUGCAAGAAAAGAAUUGUCGAAAAAGAUGGACAUACUGCUGUUGCUUGAACAGGGCCUCGAUGGUCAAUGAAGACGGAGAUAAAUACUCUGAUGCUUCUAAGGCUCUGCUCCCUUCUGCAAACCAUUUACUGUAGGGUUUUGCAUUUGCAACUCGCCUCUUCACUUCAGUAUUCUCAUAAAGCUACAUAGCAGAAGUUACGCAAGAAUUACAAUUUGAUUUCCUUAUCUGAAGAUUUCCCUAAUCUUCGACGUACCUAUUACUUUUCAAGAAAACCCGUAGUUCCAUUAUUCGUUGGCUGCACUAUAACUCUAUCAUGCAUGCUCUUCACCACACUCAACUUGAGAACGAACCCCUUAGUUAUCAUUUCACAUACCUCGCCUGUCUCUAGGUUCGCCGAAAUCAUCAUCCCUGGUCCCAAGCGACCUUUCAAUACUAUUUCAGAAUCAUCAAUAUCCAUUACUCCAACCUACACAUAACAAAAUAGAGUAGAUUCCAUAAGUCGAGAAGUGAUGCUGAUUCACAGCAUCAGCCGAAUCUACCACAAAAAUCUCGACAAGGACUUUCACAAUUCCUGUUAGUUGCUGCAACGCAUAGAAAUAUCGACCUGAUAAGACUUAAACUUGUAGUAACAAAAAAAGCAUCCCAGGCAUCUAACUUGUAAAUGCAUCGAGUUGAACAAAAAAAGUUGAAAUUAAUUAUUCUUAUUCUGAUAUCCGAAGGGGGAGGUGGGGGGAUAAAGAUAAUUCAGAAUCUGAAAGCUACCUCAGAAGCCACAUAUAUAAUAUCGUCUUUUGUUCGCCAAAAUCGAGCAGGACGAAGUCCAUUCCGAUCCAGACACGCUCCUACUGUCCUCCCGUUGCUACAAAUACAGGAGAUGCACCCAAUGAAUAAUUUUUAGGAUAUUACGAACACCUCAGCUAAGACGACUAAAUACUUCAAUACCAAUGCUGAAAUCAGCAAACAGCUAUGGACGUCAGAUCACCAAAUUACCUGAAAACAACCAGGGCAGGUCCAUCCCAAGGCUCCAUUUGGCCCUUGUAAUACUCAUAGAAGCCAACAGCCUGUGGAGAGGAAAAAAUUUAGCAUUCCCUAAUAAGAGUUUAUGUGGAAAUAGGCAAUCUUUGUAUUGUAAUAAGUAAGCUCAGCCUGUCUAAGCUGCCUUUCCCUAUCUAGUAUACUCACCUCAGGAUACUUGAUCUGUAGCGUGGGAUGAUUCAUGUAGGCUUCUGGUAUCAACAUCAUCAAGGUCUCCUCAGGACUACGACCACUUCUCAUUAAUAACUGCCAAUUCAAGAGUAUAGUCCAAAUUGGUUACCAAUGCAAGCCAUGGAUUAACUAACAUGAAGAAAUUGCAUGCAAUAUAAAAGAGAAAUCAGAAGAAAAGAUGCCACUUCCGCAACUGCUUGGACAUCCGUCAAAAUUGCUGAAAGUUUCAGUGUAAUACAUCUGUAAACAUAAGAAAUAUUUUACCUCGGCAACCAUGUCUAGAUUAGCCGAAUCAGAGGCCUUAGCAUUGCCAAAUGGUCUAAUGUCCUCCUCCCGUCCUCUCCAAACAGGGGAUGUCAUAGAUGCCUCCCUAGAUCGCAUCCAGUUAAGGUUACCCUACAUUAUCAAAAGAUUUUUAAAUUCAUAGAAGUAUUCACAAAAUGAUGGCUUGCGAAAGUGAGGCACCAAAGAACAAAAUCACAUAAGUACCUUACAGAAGAAUAAUACUUUAAAGACAGAGAACAAGAAACAACGUAACUUCAGUCUCCACAUAACGAUUUGCAAAUAAGAAACACACUUACAUGAUCUAAUCCUAUAGCCAUUACUAAAGUGGCUGUUCGUAAAUCAGAUAAAAACGAUAUUCACAUACCACACUCACUUUAAUUUCUAUAGGUCUAAGUCACCACAAACUCAAGCCUGUGCUAGUAUCAAACUUUCAUGACCACAUCCUUGAGGACAAUGAGAGAUUUACCUGUAUCGUGUUAAUUUCCCCAUUAUGACCCAAAAAACGCAUGGGUUGAGCAAGUGGCCAUCUUGGGCUGGUGUUCGUGCUGAAGCGUCUGUGAUAGAUAGCGAACGGGGUUACAUAUGAAUCGUUGUGAAAGUCACUAUAAAAUGUGCCUAACACGGUUGAUCGCAUCAUUCCCUUGUAUACGAUUGUUCGGCUGGAGAAAGAACAGAAGUAGAGGUCUUCACUCCAAGGCUCCUUCUCCUUGGCUUUCUCUAUUAACUUACGAGUAAUAAACAGUUCUCUUUCGAUAUCAUCCCCUGCUUGUUCCAUAGACACUUUCACAAAGACCUGUUCCACUAAUGGUAAGGUUUUCUUGGCGAUAGGUCCAAGUACUGACACAUCUACUGGCACCUGCCGCCAUCCAAGCACCUCAAUGCCCUCCUUCUCUAAAAUCCCCUCUACAACUGCAACAUAGAACCAAAUAUCGUCAGUGAGCGCGAUACAUGUUCUAUCAGCGACAGUUAGUCUCAAAAGUACACACCAGCGAGCAGCAAAACAAUGUCGCACUCUUCACCUGCUUUAGCUGCUGCUCUCGAAUCGGAGUCCGUAGGCAAGAAUACCAUGCCCACGGCCGUCUUAGCUUUAUCAGGAAGAGGGAGCCCUUGCUCUUUAAACCACUGAUCAAAUAGUUCCCAUGGAAUUCUAGUCAUUAUGCCCGCUCCAUCACCAGAAUCGUUGUCAGCAAGGCAGCCUCCGCGGUGUUCCAUGCAUCCUAGAGACUUGAGUGCAUCCUUCACAAUUUUAUGCGAAGCCUCAUUCUUCAAACUGGCGAUGAAUCCAACUCCACAAGCAUCGCGUUCGGCCAAAAUAUCUUCAAGAUUCACAACCUACAACAGAGGAGGACGUUGUGUCAGUUCGCCGCCGUGCAAUCUCGCUAUAUUGAUGACGUUUAAGUAACAUCGGAAACGAAUUUCCCUCCCAAGAUCUCUAAUUUUCUGCAAACAAGUGUUGAGACUGCUUACAUAUCUACAACUUAUGUAACCACUUUCUUUCGGUUGGCACAUUCUAGAUAACUUAAUGAGUGUGUAAACUGAAUGUUCAGAGGUAAGCAUCGACUCCAAUUCUCUGAAAUUUGGUAACAUCUGCUUCUCCAUGAAUAGAAACUCAUGCAUUGCGACCAGCAACCAGCUUCAACUCUACCCACGCGUUGGGGAAACAAGAUAUAGAGGAAUUUGUAAAUUCACCUCAUAUUUAGCAUUCUCUUUACUGAACGUAGUUGUUCCAGAGGCAUUUUCUAAGACUGCAGCACACACUGUCCUCCAGCUAUGAUUGGGCCUUGCCGUAAACUUCUUUACUGUCCUUCGAUUCAAGGUUUGCCGUCUCCUCCAACCAGGCCUCAAAUCAACGGAACCGCACCAAUCAACUCCGGCACGACACAAUGUGAGAGAUUUCGUAGAACGCAAAGAAGUUGAGAAACCCGAAGUUGACGAAAGAGUAUCUGAAUUCGGUAAUGUUCGUACAACUGGCGAGACCAAACUCGUGACCAAUGCCAUGACUCUAAAUCCUCAACCAGAAAUCAGCAGCUUAUAAACUGUCAAAAUUGAACAAGACUUAGGUUAGUUACGAAUUUUCCAUAAGUCUCGAACAGAUAAUAUUCUUAUAAUUCAUAUCAAUAUAAAUGAUGGCCUUUGUUUGAAUGCAUGUAGAAGAUGGACAGUCUCGACGCACACAAAUCAUAAAGCAAACGACGGGAUGCUUAGAGACGAAUUGGGGUGUACGAUUCGGAUCUUUAAUUUCCAAAGUAAAAAAAGGUUAAAAACAAACACUUGCAGAAUGUCCUCACCAAACGCAUAUAGUAACGACAGAGAGUACAUAAGCUUGAUGUAUUUCCUCCUCAAAGUGGACUUGCAAGAAAUCUUCGAAAUCCACCCGUUACCUUGCACAAUUCUGGUCAACCCUCUCGCGCUACCUGAACUACGGAAACCUCACAGCCAGUUUAAAGAAAUCAUCCCGAAAUAAGCAAGCAGCAUCACAGAUCCUCGUAACCGCUAUGAGGUCUAACAAAGCUACAGAAAAUUCCUAGACAGCCAACCCCAGCCGCACCUCUCAAAACAGAUAAAUAAAUAAAAAACCUCACACGAAAGGAUCGUCGUUGCAAGAAACAUCAUGAUAAAACAAACAUACUAUCAAACAUUUGCAGAUAACCACACCACGAGUCCGAUCGCCUCACCGGACGUCACCGAUCCCACAUAACACAACAUAGAGAGAGCAAAGCGGAGAACAACAAGGCUUCGAAACGCAAGACCCCGCCUAAUUCACUCCGUGAUCAUUCAUCUAAUUCUUAACAACAAGCCGAGGCUUAAACACGAGCCAACGAGGCUUAAACACGAGCCAAAUCCGCGAUGGUAUGUACCUCACAGAAUUGAAACGCCGCAAUGGGAGAAGAACAAGCAUUCGAUCGACAUAGAGGUCCUGCGACGAUCGCCUCUCUCUCUCUCUCUUUUUCACAACUGGAGACAUACGCCCUAGUGAUCCGGGGACUCUGUCACUUUCCAUGUAAACAACCAGGUUAGAACAAAGAGAACGCCGUGUGGAACGGGAGGGAACGAAAGGACUGCCACGUGGAUGCCGAGUCAGCAGUGUAGGGAGAUACCACGGUGUGAAGCAGACUCGAGAUGCUAGCCCUGGAUUCUUGUGCGGUGGAGAUUGACACCGUAAAUGCAUGACCAACGUGGAACGUCGAUUGCGUUGUGUCCCGCCUGCCACCUUUAAGCAGACUGUAGCCGUGAGCGCGAGAACGCGGCGAUCGGGAAUCAAGCGCGGUGUAAGAUGAAGGGGCUCUUUCUUAUACUUCAGUGAACCAACGGUCCAGAUCGGUAGACUCCAUCGAACGGUUUUAGCGCACUUCCUUUUCGGGAUUCCUGCCCCGGGUUCGGGAGACGAGAGACCAAGGUCGAUGAGAACCCCACAUGUUCACACUUGUCACAAACGAACGUUUCAGGGCUUUCCCACUAUCUGACUGAGCCUUAUUCCGUGAACCUUGGUGGCCUUUAACCGUGCCAAGUUCUGAGGAAUACAAACAAGUUUGUAAUCCUAGCGGUGUUACAACCAGGCUCUGUUUGCAAUAUGUGUAUACAUUUGGAAGUUUGAAUGUGUUGAGAAUGUUUUAAAGAAAGAGAGACAAUAGCAGCUAGAAGUAAUAUGCACACAUAUGUAAACACACACAUAAAAAGUGAGUUUAUUCAUAGGAUUAUAUCCUUUAUACAAAGAGAAGGGGAGAAGAUAAACAGUGUCUUUCCACUACAUUCCAAACACUGUAGCUGUCAUAGACAUACACAUGUAAGCUAGUAAUUACUUCUAUAAAUAGAUUGAAGUAAGUAGAAAUAGAUAAAAGUAAGUUAAUUCUAUUAUAUCAUCUAUAGAAGCUUCCUAAAAGCUUCAUAGAUGCUACUUUGACUUUUUAGGUGUCUAUAAUUGACUUUUUGAGUUAAAAAAGUGGUCAACAAGUUAGCCAUGUACCACACAUGUUGUUAGCUUGAAGACCAAGCUAACUAUAUAGCCCGCACAUAGAAAAACUUGUCUUGAGAGUCAAGGGAUGUGUCCUACAAAGUCAACACAUACUGAAGGUCUUAUAGAACAUUGCCAAGUAGCCCCUAUUUAGAUAGUAUAUAUAGAGGCAAGAAUGAAGCCCUCUUCACUCUUGUUAACUCUUUUCUUGUUUCUAAUCUAGUUUCAAGAGUCUCAAGUUUUCUUGUCUUUUAGCAAUAAGUCAUUCCAAUUUCUUUUAAAUAUACAUACUUCCUUAUUUCUAUUUUGUUAUUCUUUCUUUGACAUAGAUUUCAUUGGUUUAUGCAUCAUCUUUUAGUUCAUGUCCUUGACAAUAGCUAUAGUAAAUAUUAUAGACUACAAUAAAUAGUAUGGAGAGCACCAGCUACAUUUAAUACUCUCAACACUCUUCUUCAUUCGUCAUAAUAUUUAUAUGUAUAGAAUUAUGAUCUAUAUUUUUUUGUAAUCUUGUAAGAUCAAUGAUUGUUGUCUCAUUAAAACUUUUUCUAGGAAAAUCAAUUAUAUUUAAGGACAAAACCAUAGAUGAAAGAAAAAGAGUACAUCAUUAUCUUAGGAAUUCAUUAACUUUCCUGAUCUAGAAAAGCAAGUCUCCGCAUGCCGAUUCCAUAAGUAAGUCGGCAAUGGUUGCACAAAGGAAGAGCUUUGGUGAAGAAAUCAGCAAGAUUAUUUGUAAAUUCAAUUUUUUUGAUCUUAAGUAUUUGAUCAGUAAUCAAGUCAUGGAUAUAACUAAAAUAUUUUGGAUCAAUAUCCUUUUUCUUGUUUCCUUUAAUAAAAACCAAUUUUUAUUUGUGUAAAAUAAACACUAUUAUCUUCAUAUAAGAUAGUUGGAGAAUCAUUAUAUGAAAAUCCACAUGUUAUUUGAAUGAGUUUAUUAAUUGAUCGCAACCAAAUACAUUCAUGAAAUGCUUCAUGUAAGGCAAUAAUUUUUGCAUAGUUAGAUGAAGUUGCAAUUAUAGUUUGUUUCACUAAUUUCCAUGAUAUUGCAAUUCCAUGUCUUAAGAAUACAUAGCAUGUUUGAAAUUUAGGUGUUGCAAUAUCAGAUUUAUAUCAUGCAUUAGAACAUCCAACCAAUUUUGGAUUUGAAAAUCGUGUAUAGUAUAAUCCUAAAUCUUCACUACCUUUUAAAUAAUGUAGUAAAAGUUUGAUACCAUUUGAAUGUCAUAGUGUUGGAUAUUGUCGUGAUGUAAUACGACUACAUAGUGAAAUUAUAAUCAAAAUUGAAUUUCUAAUCAAUAUCUAAUUAUCUUAGUUCAAUUAUAAUUUGAGAUAACUAAACAUGGCUUUUAUAAAAGCCUCUUAGGUUAUUUUCUUAUCUUAAUAGUUAAUAGGUUGACAGUUAGUAAGUAAUUUUACCUUCUAGAUUGUAGAGACUCUUCUACUAUCUUAGAAAGAGCAUAAAUUGAUAAAAUCAAAGUAGAAGAGAUAAAUGGUUGGUAUGAUUAAUACUAAGGUCAAGUUAAGGAUAGAAUUGGGCUAAAAAAUCUUUAGGAUAAGUUAAAUUGAUAUCUGAGGGUCGACCAUUUAUGAGACAAGGUCAAAAUUAGACCUCUGAUUACUAAAACGACCAGUGAAGGCAAGUUAGGGAUUUAUUCAAAGAUCAGAGGAUAGGAUUUGAAAGGUAGCUUGAAGUUCCUUCCAAAGGCACAAGGAUUUUUUUUGGAGGGUUUUUGAAGACUUAGCAAUUAUUAUUCAAAGUUAGGGUUUGUAUCAAUAAUUUGGAUUUUAUGUAAUAUAGUUAAGGCUAGUAAUUUUAGCUAGUUUGUGGAAUUGGUAUAACAUCUACAAUUGAAAAUUUGAUACUAUUUGGAUUAUUAAGUGUGCUAAGUAUAUACAAAAUUUUGUGGUAAUUUAAUGGCGUGGUUUAGCAAUAUCUAGUUAUUAGCACAAAAAGAUUUCGGAAGGUGACAGUUUGAGGUUGGAUAGGAUUUCUAUGAUAUGUGAAGAUCUAUCAACUGGAUUAAGGUAAAAAUUAGCAUGGUGUUGAAAGACUUGAAGAUCAAGCUACAUAUGAAUUUUGAGACAAAGUUAAUAGUUAGAAAGGGAGAAAUCACUGCUAGGAUUUUUGCUUCACUUUUCAAGUUGAUGGCCAAGUAACAUUAGUGCAAUUUUUGGAGGUUUUCUCACAAUUUGUAAGUUGGAUUGGACUAAAAAUUCUUGAGCAUAUAGAAGACUUACAUUGAAAAUUGCAUGCAAAAUUCUACAUCAAGUGGACAAUUAGAUUGGAUGUUACAGCUUGUUAAAGCUCACUGAUUAGGAUUGGGGCUUACAAGAAAAAUCUAAAUUGCUUAAAUAUGAAAGUAACAAGGUAAUUGGAGUUUAUGUAUAGUUAAAACUAUUAAGAAGAGUUUUUUUAGCACUUUUGAAUUGAAACUCAGAUUAUAUUCUUCUCAUAUGGACAAAAUCUAUUAGGAUUUCUUGGCUACUUGUAAAACACAAUCUCACCUUCCACAGCUAGGUGACAGGUGCAUUCCUGAGUAAGACAACACGUAAUACAACAAUGUGCACUAUGUCUUGCAAGAACACUAAGUGCGAAUGCAAUAUUUGGUCUGAUAGAUGUGGCUAAAUAUAAAAGUGCUCCAAUCGCUACGAGGUAUAUAUAUUGCUCUUAUAAUAUUUCUUCCUCCUCCUUGCACAAACGAUAUGGAUUAUGACCAUUAUGACCUCAUCCAAUCAUUGGUGUGGAUAAUGGAUAAGCAUCAAUCAUAUUGAAUCUUUGUAAGAUUUGUCUAAUAUAAAUUAAUUGAUAGAAAAAAAAUGCUACAAUCUUUGAAAUGCAUAAUCUGAAGACUAAUGCAGAAAGUUAUUUUUCUUAGUAUUUUUAUCUCAAAUUCAUAUAUAAGUAGAUAAGUAGGUGCAAUACAUGCAGAUCUAAUCUCCAAUACGAUAAAAUCAUCAACAUAUAUAGCAAUAAUUACAAAUCCUAUUUUAUUUUGUUUGAUAAAUAAAUAAGGGAUUAGUGGAUCAUUUACAAAAUUAUUUAUAAUUAAAUAAUCUUGGAGACAUUGAUACUACAUGUGUCCAGAUUGUUUUAGAUCAUAUAUGGCCUUAUGUAAUUUAAUACCAUGAUAUCAUCUUAUAGCACGGAUAUUUGGAAUUCCUCCUUUCAAACCACAUGGAGUUUUCAUAUAAAUAUUUGCAUCAAAUGAACCAUACAAAUAUGCAGUUAUCACAUCUAUGAGACGCAUUUCAAGGAUGGCAUGAACUACCAUUCUAAUAAUAUAUUGGAAUAUAAUUGAAUCCAUGAUUAAAAAAUAUGUAGAUUCAUAAUCAAUGCCAAAUUAUCAAGUAAAUCCUUGAGCAACAAGACAAGUUUUAUAACAGGUUAUUUGAUUUUUAGCAUCUCUCUUGCAUAUUAAUAUCAUCUUAUAUCCCACAAGGCAAGAAGUAAGAAUGUCCACAAUUGGACUGAAGACUUUUGUCUUAUGCAAAGAAGCAUAUUCUUCCUUGAUGGUAGUUUUUCAUUUUAAUUAGUGAGAGCGACGUAUUCAUUCCUAAAUAGUUUGAGGUUCAGGAUCUUCCUUCUCAUAAGAAAGAACUUCUGUCAUUAUGAAUGAAAAUGAUUCAUCUAUUAUAAUUGAUGGUCUAUCCCAAAGGUCAUUUGUAGUACAAUAUAGAACGGAUAAUUCUAUACUCAAUUCAGUUUUAUUUUUUCUAUUUUCAAAAAAAAUUAUAGAAUGAAAUAAAGGUAUAAUGUGCAUAGACAUAUUGUCAUUAAUUGGUGGUCCCAUAAGUGUAGUAGGAACUUCUAUAGAAAUAAUACGAGAAUCAACACAUGUUAUAGCUUUCUUUUUUCAUGGUUGCUUAUUUGGUCCAUGAGUCCUUUUAAUUAGUAAUGUUUUAACUUGAGCUAUAUUUGUUAGUGGUAUUUCAAUCCGAGCAAGUUUAUUUUGAGUCUCAUUAAUUGGAACUCUUGUAAUUGGAGACGCAUCAUUGAAGCCAUCAAGUGUUUUAUUUAAAAUCCAUUUUAGAUACAAAAUCUUUGUAACUUCACUUUUAGCCAAAGAUGUUCUAAUAUUAGGAUUCAUUGUAAAUAUUUUUGGUACUCCAAAUACAAGUAUUGUAUUUUUUUGUUGAUUAAAUACUCUUCCUAGAAGAGAUGGAAAUAUGUUCUCUUUGAAAUGGAAAUUUUGAAAAUGUGCAUAUAACAAUGUGUUAGUUGAUGGGUCAACUAAACAAAUAAUACAUUGUGAAUCAAAACCAAUAUAUAUGCCUUCUUGUCAAUGAGUUCCAAUGGUAUGCUGUUGAAGUUCUAGUAUUGGAACCCAAGUACGGCAAUCAAAUAUUUAUAGGUGAGAUACAUUUGAAAUACGACAUGAAAUGAGCUCUUGUGGUAUAAUAAUUUUAAGAAAACAAAGACAGAGACGUAUUAGUGCUACAACAUACAAAACUACAUGACUCCACAUAGAUGCAGGUAAUUUGUAUGAAAAAAGAGUGGCCAUGUAAUGAAUUAUAUACACUUUAUAAAUGACUCUACAAGUCCAUUUUGAACACAUUCAUAUGGAACACAAUAUAUCAACUCAAUCCUUAUUGUAGUACAAUAGUCUUCAAAAGACUUUGAUGCAAAUUCUUUUGCAUUACUUAUAUGUAAUGUUUUGAUAGGAUAAUCAAAAAAAUCUACUUGAAAAUAAAUAAGCAUGGAUAUAAGAUUAGAAAAUACCAUAUUUUGAGUUGAUAAUAAUGAAACAUGUGAUUGUUUGCCUAAUGCAUCAACAAGGACCAAAAAAUAAUGAAAUGGUUAAGAUAUUAGAUUAAUAGGACCACAAAUAUCACCAUACAAUCUUUCAAGUAUUAGUAGUAAUUCUUUUGGUAGUUUCCAAAUUGAAGACCAAGUAAGCAUCUUGUCUUACACACAUGUACGACAUAAUUUCAUAGAAUCUAUAUCUACAAAUCUUAAAUUAUGUUCAAUUAUACAUAGAAUUAUCUUCCAAAAUAAUGUAGAUCCUAGAUGUCUCAAUCAUCCAUGCCAAAGAGAAAUACGAUUCUUUGUUAUAGAUGAUGCAAAAUUAAAUAUAAUAGGAGGUCGAAUUGUAAUCUGGUAUAAACCAUUUGUUGCAACAAAGGCUGUUUCUACAACUUUAUGAUUCCAUUCAAGAACCAAAACCUCUUACCUAUCUAAAAUUGCAGUUGAGAGGUGAUAACCAUUGACACAUAUAUCUCGAUAACUAACCAGAAUCUAAGGUGUUAAAGGUGCAAAUAUUAUAUAUUAAUAUUUUAUGAUAGAGCCCACAAGAAAUUUUACCAUUGUUAUUCCCUCUUGGAAAUAAAAUGCAUUCGUUUGAGCCAUAGUCAUCAAAUUUUUAGUUUGCUAAGUUGAAAAUUUUUCAAUAAAAAACCAUCUAUCCUUCGCGAUAGUAUAUAUUGUUGUAAAAUCAAUGAGUGUAUCAUUUGAUUCAUCAUUAGAGAUUUUGUCAUUCAUAUAAGCCUCUAAAUCAUUAAUACCAAUUGAAUCCAUGGAUGCAUCAAUAAUAUAAACUUGAGAGCCUUAGCUUGAAGUUUCUUAUUUUCUUGGAACAUUUCAAUAAAGUAUUUUGAAGUACAGCUUGCAUGUGCCAAAUGUCCAAUCAUUUAAUAUUUAUGGCAAGAAUGCAUCUUUGAUUUUUGUUAUCUACUAUAAUUAGUUGUAGAAUGUUUAUUCUUUCUAUAUAGUUGGAAAUGGUCAUGACCAUAAUUGACCUGAUGCUAAUCACUAUUUUUUCCAAGUUUGUAUAAUUGUUUCUUAGACUUUGGAAUAUUAAGUACAUGAGAUUUUUGGAACUGUGGUUCCAAUAAGACAAGCUUCUGCAUUACAUAAGAAUAGCUCAUUUUAUUUCUCCACAAGAAAUAGAUAGGACAUGAGAUUAUGAUGACUCUAAAAUUUCAUAUUCUUAUAUUGUUGUGCAAGCUUAUCAGAUGCAGGAGGAAAUAUAGAGAGAGUUUUCUCAAUCAUUUUAUCUUCAGAGAUGUUUUGUCUACAUAAUCAUAGUUGUAAGACAAUAUAAUAUAUUUCACUAUUGAAAGCAUUUAAAUUUGGAAAAUCCAAGACAAGUAAAUGUAUCCAAUCAUGACAUAUAUAUAGAAGAAAAUUGGUCUUUUGAUGAUUAAAUCUAGAUUUAAGAUUCUCCUAGAGCUUGGUUGAAUCUUCUAUUUUUAAAUAUUGAUGUUGUAAUGUAGGUAUAAGAUGUCGGCAAAAGAGAAGAAGUACUUUCCAAAAAAUAGUAAUAAGAAUUGAAGUACUAAUAGUAGAAGAUUCUUCAAACAGAAUUAUAUCAAAUAGUUGUUUUGUAAAUAAAUUUACUUUUGCCAUUUUUGUCUAUAAUAGAUAAUUCUUUCCAUCAGCAGCCAAUGGUAGAAAUAGAAGGGCUUGAAAAUGUUGGGAUGCAAUGGUGAUAGUUGGAAACAUAAUAGAUGUAGUUGAGGAUGUUGAAGCACUCAUCAUAAAUAAAUCUAAGAACAAAAAAAUUCUAGUUCAAGUAGAAAAGGUUGAAUAAAAUGUACCUUAGAAUGUAAAGCCAAAUAGAAUGAUAAAGUUGAAACUUGGAAUCAAAAAUUAUAUAUAUAUAUAUAUAUAUAUAUAUAUUUUUCUUUUUUUUCUUUCUUUUUCCACAAAAAUAAGGAUCUACGAUGGACUGCAACAAGGUACGUUAUGGCACAACAAUUCAACAGUAGGGUGCAGUAGUCGGCUGCAGGAUGUAUCAAUUAGUGGCAAUUGGCAACAAUAGUCAAUGGCAAUCGAUGGCAACAACAGCAACAAAAACAAUAGCAGCAAAAGAACAAAAAAAUACUAGUUCAAGUAAAAAAAAUUGAGUAAAAUGUACCUUAGAAUGUAAAGCCAAAUAGAAUGAUAAAGUUGAAACUUGGAAUCAAAAAUUUUACAACUAUAUAUAUAUAUAUAUAUAUAUAUACUUCUUUUUUUUCUUUUUUUUUUCCACAAAAAUAAGGGUCUAUGGUGGACUGCAACAAGGUGCGUUAUGGCACAACAGUUCAAUAGUAGGGUGUAGUAGUCAGCUGCAAGGUGUGUCAAUUAGUGGCAAUCGGCAGCAAUAGUCAGUGGCAAUCGAUGGCAGCAACAGCAACAAAAGCAACAGCACUAAAAGAACAAAAAAAUACUAGUUCAAGUAGAAAAGAUUGAUUAAAAUGUACCUUAGAAUGUAAAGCCAAAUAGAAUGAUAAAAUUGAAACUUGGAAUCAAAAAUGUUACAAAUAUAUAUAUAUAUAUAUAUACGUUUUUUUUUUCUUUUUUUUUUUCCACAAAAAUAAGGGUCUGUGGUGGACUGCAACAAGGUGUGUUGUGGCACAACAGUUCAACAGUAGGGUGCAGUAGUCGGCUGCAAGGUGUAUCAAUUAGUGGCAAUCGACAAUAGCAGACAGUGGCAAUCGAUGGCAGCAACAGCAACAAAAACAACAGCAGCAACAGUAGUAGCAAUAACAAAGGACACUAACACAAGCAACAACAACAACAACAUAGGAGAAAACAAAAGAAAAAAAUGCACAUAAGUUUUUAAGAACUAAGAAUUAAGACUAGAAUAUAAAAGCAAUCGUGCUGAUAACAUGUUGAAAAUGUUUUAGAAAAAGAGAGACAAUAGUAGAUAGAAGUAAUAUGCACACAUAUGUAAACAUACACACACAAAAAGUGAGUUUAUUGAUAGGAUUAUAUCCUUUAUACAAAGAGAAGGGGAGAAGAUAAACAAUGUCUCUCCACUACAUUCCAAACACUAUAACUACAAUAAAUACUAUAGACUAUAAUAAAUAGCAUGGAGAGCGCUGGCUACAUUUAAUGCUUUCAAUAGAAUGCAUUAAAUCUGUGAAAUUAUAGCUAAUUAGUUAUGAAUUAUCAUUGUGAAAUUAAGAAAAAGGUUAUUAAUUGAUAAAGAGAUAGAUUGAUUCAAACGUUGUAGUGAGAUUUUAUCAGUUUGGAAUAAAAUUUUGACAUAUUAGUUGAUAAUUGGUAAAAUAUGCAAAGCCCUAAAAUUGGAAGGGCAAAACAAAGGUUGAAGUAAUGUCCUGGGAUCGGACGCGCUGAGCUCAAGCAAUCGAUUCGACGACAGUGCGGAGCUGAUUCAUGUUCAAGAGGCUCCUAGAAUCAGUUUUCCAACACAGGACAUGUCAUAAAAUCUUCUUAACUAACACGCAUCCUGCAGCUUAUGAAGAGGAAGUCCGAAGUUCCUGAUUGUUUGUAGAGAGAGCUGCAGUCCGAGUGCUGCUGGGGUUGCCGAGUUUGCGCAAGUUAGACUAGGGAGAACGGAUUGUCGUUGUUGAGGCAGUCCUAGGACAUUGGAGAUUCAUGUGGAGACCAUGAAGGGAUGAUUUCACUCGUCAUGAGCCUAGGAAAUAGGAGUUCAGAAAUUUAGGUGUACAUUUCUAAUUUCCAAGUGAAAGCCUACUGCGCACUUAAGAGGAAGAUCCAGAGCCAAGUCGAGCUCCUUGCCUAGCAACCCCGUGCCCGAGCAGAGCUUUACUGCGUCGAUCGCCGCACACCAUGUCAUCAGUCAGUUUGAGAGGUUCGCCAUCGGAUAGUCCAAUCUGGAAAAAUUGCUCUGUGGAUCUAUGCAACAGAACUUGGAAGGUUGCGUGUCUUCUGCGAGGAGAUACGGCGCACUGGAGACCCAUGCAUUAAGUGAGAAGGAGGAGGAGGAGGACACACUGUUCGCGCACAGCUGAACGCCAUUGCUAUGGCCAGAACCAGAGCUUUAACUUACUACAAGGACAGUGAUCUUCGCAAUAGGCACAUCUAGUUUGGCAUGAUGCUCAAAAACUUCAAGCAAUGGAUCAAAAACUGACACUGCAGUAAGUCAGAGCAUUGUUCAGUCUCAUCUGUCAAGUCCAGAUGUAUGGUCUCUGGCCCUUCCAAACUUCUAUUCGUCUGCAGGGUGUGAGGUUUAUCCUCUUUGCGUGCUGUGCAAUCUUAAAGUCACAUUCCGGCGGCGCCACUUGCAUUUGUCAUAUUUUCUUUUCUUUUCAUCUCUUUUUUUUUUCUUUUUUUUUUUUUUUUUUCUCCUUCUUCUCCUGACGCACAACAUCUGUCCCUCUGUCUCUCUCUCUCUCUCUCUCUCUCUCGAUUUCUGGGUCAUAGAGGAGAGGUGCAGACAGGUCUUCUGUUCGGGGUGACAACCGAGGAAUGAGAUGGAGCAUGUGACUCUCGCUGCAUCGAAUCUUUUCGAACAGUCUACGAGAAUCUCGCAUUAGGGGGACGAACGGACGACGUGCAUCUUCAGGGACGUUUUCGUCGCGAUCUCCGACGUCUGCUUCGACGACGUCACCCUUGACUUUUACUUUUUCUCUUUGCCUUUUAAUAGUUAAGAAGUUUUUGCCACUUCUCUCUUUUGUGUUUGCUUCCUUCCUUUCCCUUUUAUUUUAUCUUUCGAAGAGAGGGAGUUUAAGGAAAUUAAUGAUGAUGAUAAUAAUAAUUGUGGUAAGAAUAAUAUCACAUAAUUGUGUGCCUAAAUAUGAUUAUUAAUAUGAAAAAAAUAAUAAUAAAUAAAUAACUUGAAAUUAGGAAUCCACUAAUUGUAGGUUGAUAAAAUAAAGACAAUCCUGAGUAAUUCAUUUUCAAAUUUAUUGAGGAUUUGAAUAAAAAGAAUAAAAAUAAAUUACUUUUAAAAAAUAAUAAUGUAUUUAUGAUUAAUUUAUUCAAAUUAUAUUAGAUAAAAGUAUAUAUAAUGGUAUUAAAUAUAAAAACAUAUAUAUAUAUAUAUAUAUAUAUAUGUCCUCAAUAAAAUCCGAAAUUUUAUUUUUUUUAUUGAUAAUAAUCUAUUAUAUAAUAUGCUUGUAAAUUUGAUUUUCUUUACUUUAGGAAAAAAAUUAAAAAUAAAACUAAACUAAGUUCACACCAAAUAUAGACAUAAGCCAAUGGAGCCACUUUUCAAACUAUUUUUUGAAGUUUUUUGAAUUGAAAAUUAUAGGUUAAAAUUAAUUUAAAAAAUAAUACUAAUAAUACUAAUAAUAAUAUAUGUAUAUUUUUAAUUUUUAAUUUUCUAAAAUUAAAUUUAAAUAUUAUUUAAUAUUAUUUUUGAAGAAAUUAUAUUAUUUCAUCUUAUUUUUAGUUAAAUUAUAUCACUUAGAUAUUAUAAGGCAUAAUAUAAUCAAUCAAUUUAUAAUGUUAUUUUCCACAUUUUACUAAAUAGUUACUAAACCAUAUUGCAAAAUUUAACAAAAUAUUUAUACACAAUUUAAUUUAAAGCCUUAAAUAAUUAUAUAAUAUAAUUUUUUAAUAUGCAAGUAUAAAUACAAAUAGAUAUAUGUAUAUAUAAUUAUACAUAUAUUAAGUCUUUGUACUUUUGCCAAUGAAAAAUAAGUAUGCUUUGGUAAGGCUUACAACCACACAUGAGCUUAUGUAAUCACAAAAUUUACAAGACUAUAAGAGUAUCAUCAAAGCUUCACUAUCACUAAGUGUGAUAUCCAUAUGCAUUAAAUAUUGCUUGCAAUCUUCAGGGCAUUUCAUUUAUCCAUUUAUUUAUAGUGACUUAGUCAAUGAGGUUUCAAUCUUCUUAAGGUGCUUCAAAAAAAUAUUGGGUAUCAUGAAGUCUCUUAUUUCUUUGCAUCAAAUAAUAUCUAAGGUGUUGUUUGAGAAUCAUCCCACAAUUCUCAAUUAAAUUGAAGUUUAGAGAAUUGGAUGGUAAAGAUAGUUAUGCAUAGCCACACUCUCUUUAGAUUCUUGUGUUUUCAAGCCAUUAGUGCCAUCUUGUUCUAUUUGCAACUAAGAAGAUAUGAUGCAUCUCAUUGUUUAAAAUACAAAUGAAAAGAAUAAAAUAAGAUUUGUACAAUUCUCAAGCAAAUUGCACAAUAUUAAGAUCAAGUCUAUCACAAGGAGUAACAUGCUCCAUCUUUGUAUUAAGGAUAUGAAUCUCGAAGAAAGGAAAUUCUCCAUACAAUCUUGUGUCAUUGAAGAAAACUAGAAAGUCACUCAAAAGGUGAUGUAAUAUUUAACUAGAAUGGCUAUUGCCAAAAAUAAGAAGACUAGAAAGUCUUGAAACAAGACUACGAACUAGAGAAGCAUUGACAAGAAUGAAGAAGGCUUCACUCUUGCCUCCUUAUAUACUUAUAAUUAGAAGCUAUGUAGCAAUAUCCUACACGACCUCCAAAACAUGUUGACUUUAUUAACCACAUGUCUUAACUUGCAAGGCAAGUUAUUUAUGUAUGUACCACAUAGUUAACUUAUUCCACAAGCUACUACACUAAGUUAACUUGUUCCACAAGCUACCAACACAUGGUUAGCUUGUUGUCCAAGUUUCUAACCUACAAACAUAUCUAAAGUCAAAACCGCAUCUAUGAAGCUUCUAGAAAGAUCUCUAAAAGACUUUAUGAAAUUAAUCUAUGUUUACAUACUUCUACCUAAUCAUAUAAAUAACUAUUGAGAUAAAUGUAUAUGUCUGUGACACUUUGUUAUCUUCUUCACUAAAUUAUCUUAUAACAGCCUUCUUUUGUAAAUACAUAUAAAAAUGUCAAUAUUUGCGGUCUCAAACUUGAAACUAGGUCUCAAAUUCUUCUUGUAUAGUUCUUCACCUUAAUAUAUAUAGACCUUCUUCCUUGUAGGACAUGGAUCAUAGACUAUAGUAGUCUUAUCAAUGAAAUAAAUCCUAGUCCAGUGCUCUAAAUUCUACUUACAAUAUCUAUGAACAAAUUCUCAAUGUUUUUUUUUUUUUUUUUUUUUUUGUCCUAAUGUCUUUUAGAAUUUCAGUUGGAUCACCUUGAAGUAGAAGCCACUAAUAGAAACAAUCUUGCAAAUGCUUGAAAAAAAAAACUCGACAUUUGCUUUUUUUGAAAUCUAUUGCAAAAAUAACCUAAAAUCCUCAUCUAUUACUUCUUCUACUAUCCUUCUCACAACUCUUGUAAUUUUUUGUAGAUGACCUUUGCAAGGAGCAACUUGUUGCAUAUGAUUGUACAUAUAGACAUACAUAUAAAUAUAUGCAAAUAAUUUUUUAAAUACAUAAGAAUUUUUUUAAAUAGAUAAAAAUAAAACUUAAAAACUUAAAAAAUUACUUCAUUUUUAUGUAUAUAAUAAUUAAAAUUUUAUAUGUAUAAUAAAAAAAAUUAUACCAAUUAAACAUAAUAACAUUUGGAUGAAUUGUAUCAAUAACCAUAUCAAAUUGUUUUUAUCAAACUUGGUACCAAGUGCAUAUUUCUUAGAUCUAUUGCAUUUAUCUAAACAAUAUAAGUUCAUUUUUAGCAAUCCAAGAUUAUCAUCAAAAAUUAAAAUAUUAAGUUUUUUUAAUAAAAAAUUCUUUAUUAAAACCUAGAAAAUUUUCCAAGAGGAAACAUGGAUGUGCUUGAAUCUUCAACAAACAAACAAGACUAUGUCAUUGCAGGGACGUAAUAAUAAUAAGACAUAAUAAUAACAAGACGCUCAACACUUGCAAGGACCAAAAGAGGACCUCAUGAAAGAGCUAAUAGUUGGAGAAGAGGUGCACCAGGAGAACUCAACGUUUUUAUUAGUGAAUAUCCUCUUGUGCUCCCACACUUGUUCUCAUUUGUAGGCCCACCGAUGCAACUUCAUUAGAGGUGAACAGAGAAGGUUAGGACACAAGGUCAAGGUCAGUAAUAGAAAUUCAUGGCUGAGUCAGGAACAAAAAAACAGACUAAAGGCAUGAAAUUAGGGUUUCGGUUUGACCCAUAAACUCUGACGCAAUCAGUUGUCACCAUGUAACACUUCUUCAGCACGUCAGUCCCAGUUUACCCUAAUCGUUUGACAUCGGUGCUGUGCAAAACGCUCUCGCAUGUAUCGAUAUCCAAGAUCUGAAGAUGAUGACCUCAGAGCGUGCAUCAUCUUGGGAGUAAGACCUCCAUUUACUUUACAAGAAACCUGUAUCUCGUUUCACUGUAAGCUGACCCACUUGACGAUGACGAUGACGAUAGAGAGGCGUAAGUUGAUAGAUUUCGGAUGAAUCUGCAGUACAAAUUAGCACCCUAGGGUGUGAUCUACGCUCAAUUGCAGUUUUGUGUUUUUCUACCAACUCAACAUCUUUCAGCAACGACCAUGGUGAUGGCGAAGAUGACUGGAUUGCUUGGUUUUCUCGUGGCCUUGGUGAUGGUGGUGAGCUCUGGCGCCCAAGCAGCGCGUUGCUCACCCCAGUUCCCUUUGAGCUGCGCAUCAUAUGUUCUUGACGGUCGGGCGGUACCUUUGAAAACUUGCUGCAUUGAGCUCCAGGACAACUUCAAGAUACUCGACCCCAAAGCAAGCUUGAAGCCGUAUUGCGAUGCCAUCGUAGGAGUGAAGCUUUUCAAUGGACCCUUAGCUGGAAAUGAGCUGAACUUGGCUCUCAACCUCCCCAACAAAUGUGUCCUAAGUGGCCAAUACAAGAAGGGCCAAACAUGUGCUGGUAAGUGGCCUACUCUUCAUUUCCUUUGCCCAUUGCAUCCUCUUCUGCAAUCUCCGCAAUGUAGAUGCUGCUUGCAACUUUUCGCUACCACUGAACCACACCUGAUGGUCACAACCGAAACUUAGCCUCCAGAGUGUUCAUCUCCUCAGCGACAAUUUGCUUGUGCGUAGUGCUUUUUCCGGAAUGAUAUAGCAUGAUUCUAUUGUCAUCUCCAUCAUCGCCGCAAAGACUGGUGAAGGCCAUGACUGGUUCAUCAAUCUGGGUUGUGUUGUGCAGGCAAACCUUUUCCAGGAGGCAGCUAGACUUAUCCAGCGAGAGCUCAAUCUGCAAAGCCUGCUGCUCUCUUUGCAUUUACAACCAUCUGGCAGAGAGCAGUGGCUUGCGGCGAAGGAUAUCUGCUGCUGAAAUGAUUGCAAUGCCAUACUUGCAUAGGUUCGAGAGUAACGUAGCUGGAUAACCAAAGGUCUCGAACGGGAAAUGGCGAUAUAAAGUUUUGGUGACUUUUUAUCGUUUUUGUUGAAUCUAUCGCCCAAUCGUGUGAUUUGCUUCAUCGGUGUUGGUUGUCUGUUGAUAAAUCUGCAACUGCGUCUUGUGGUCUGAUGUUGCUCAGUAUUGUGAUGGUCGGAAUGGUGGCGAUUUUGCUGAGUGUUGACCCACUUCUUGUGAGUUAAGAGCUGAGGUUCUCAUCUUGAACAAACAUUCUUUCCGAGGGCAAUAUCCUACUCCUGUAUUUAUCCAUUUGCACUGUAUUUAUCCAUGGAAAAAUCUAAGUUAGAAUUACAGCUGUAGUUCAAACGAAAAGUUAAAGAAUGUAUACGUUGUGUAGAAGUAGAACACAGUACUGAUAUUAAAAUUGUGAUGUUUAAAUACAAUCUUUCCUUGUUCGUGUUGCUAAACUUCACCACAGUGGCCGAGAACAUGGAUUGGACCUAGAUUGUUCCAGGUAAUGCAGUUGUUUCAGCGACACAUGUAUUCCGACAUACUGCUAAUGUUGUAUUACUGAUCUGUGGUUGUACAUUUCUAAACCAAUCAAAAACACACUUCAAGGUUCAAUUCAACAUGUGUGUGACACUCUUCUCAGUGUGACGAAAUAUGCACGUAGGGAAAAAGUCUCCGGUUCCUUCGGUGUUUGGGCUCCAGAAGACAAUCGAUUCCUGUGUUGGUUGCCUUGCGAGUUUUCGUUAGCUGAGUCUCCUUCUAAAAUUUUGCAUCCAUAUUUCAAGCUUAUGGCUGAGUUCUUCACUUAUAUUAACAAACAACCAUCAUCUACAUACAUCAGCCAAGCACCAGUAAAUCAACUACUUAGCCAGACACUGGUAAAGUUCUAUAAUCAAGGAUUAGAUUAUUGCAUUGACAUCAUCGCAGAGAAGGAUAAUGGUCUCAGUCCAGCUACAGCAGAAAUCUAAUAGUUGUCUGCAAAAACUCUGCCCAUCUUGACACUCAAAAGACAGAAUGGAUAGAUAUAUUUGUGCGUGUGUAGAUAUAUACUUACAUAUACAUAUAUAUAUAUAUAUAUAUAUAUACAUGGAGAGAGAGAUAGAGGGAGGAAGAGAGAAGGUGACAGACGUCUCUCUUUCAAAGCGAAUGUGCAGAGAAGUAAGGCCGCAAAAAACUGAAAGUACCUGCACGCUGACUUUUCCACCUCUACUGGACUCUACGGUUCGUAUCUGGCAUUUUAUUUCUGGAAUUGACCAUGAACCAAUUAUCCUAACAGAAAUGAGGAAAAUGAUGCAAGUACAUGAAAACACAAAUAGUUCCUAAAUAUAUAUAUAUAUAUAUAUACACAUACAUACAGGCAGUUUGGGAGUUGUGAGCUAUAAGCAACGUCAUUUUACUGUCUAAAAAGCGGCGGUUAAGUUUACAGUGACGAAAAUGCGAACCUUACAUAUUUGACUGAAAUACCCUCUCAAAUGCAACUGAACACUAUGAGAAUAAAGUUAAUGAACCUAUGAUGGCGAUCCACAACAUGAAACACGUAAAGGUUAAACUAAAUGCAUAGCAAACGCUGUGGCAUUCAAAAGCGCUGGUGAAGCAAAGGCGAGGUCCCAGUAAAAGGUCAAUGAGAUAACACAGAGAGAGCUCAUUUGUGUUUUCUGCAAUAGUCUGAAGUUCAUGACCUACUUCAGGAACGUCAACAUCUGGUCUAUGGGUUCUUUCACAGUCCAAGGUUUAAUGAAACACUGAACUUCUAAUUCGAAAAAAGAGUGCCAGGCGCUGCAAUCACUGCUCUGGCUGCUUCAAUGUAAUUUUCUCAAGCAGCUUCGCGUAUUACUUCGAGUGUAACAACGAUAUCAGUCGCUGGUCUUCCUUCAACCAGACGCAUCACGCAUUCCGACAGGCGCAUCAGAAGUUUCCUCCAAUAUACAACAAUUCCACAAGAGUCUCACACAGACCUUCACAAUCCCAUCCUACUUCUCAACACACCUUUUCAAACCGAUCCAACCUGUAAAGACACAUACAACGAAUACAUGACUUGAAUGAAUUCGAACCCCGACUUGCAGAACGACUCAGGCCAUAGCAUUGAGAAGUCACAGAAUGUGAGCCUUCCGAAGGCGGCGAUGGCGACCUAAUCGAGAGCUAGCUGGAAAGAUGAAGGGCACGGCAGAGACGAGAAUACAGAGGGAUUAGUUUGCAAGACGACUGCACUUCGCAGGGGGGGAAAAUGAAACUACACGAAUAUACAUUCCAGCCCUUACCAAUUUCAUUAUCCACCUGCAGAUGAAAACCACUUGAAAGCAUCGUUUGGACAAGCAAAGAUUAUCGUAAGAUUGUGCAAUUACGAAGCAGGAAGUUGGAGCCUAAGGAAUGAGUUGAAUGCGAUGUGCAUCGCAUGGACACGAGAAAAACUGGAGAAUAAGAUUUGCCCGACAUGGAUUUUAAAAGCGCAGACCAAAACUUGCAAAUCCAGGAUUCUGAAAAGAGCAGAUGCUCACAUUUAGUCAAUGCGAGCCGCUUCAAUUGUGCAGUAAGACUGUUUCACUCCAGUUGCUCAAAUCAAUGAGAAAUAUGCACCGACACAAAGACCUUAAAGAACCCCAGACAUUUGCUUAAUUCUCACUACUUAAGAAAUGAUGAAAAAAGAAUAUCCAACAGUCUAACAUGAGCUUCGUCAAACCCCCUGUAACCAAUGUAAACUUUUCCAUCCACAAAACCAUUUCUACUGUUUCUUUCAAUCCAUCAAGAUUUGGGAAGAAUUGCAUCCUAUGCAUUUGGAAUGUAUAAUUGAAUAGUUCUAUUGAACACUCUCAUUAAAAUUCAGAAGGAUUCCAGUGUAUACGAUUGGAAACUGACACUACACUUACAGGAGAAAAUUUUGAACUUGUGUAGUAAGAAAAUUAUUUGGUGAGGUAUUCGCACAAGAGAUUGGAUGAUCAGAAGAUGCACACUUUCAGAUUUUAUAUUGAAAUAUCUAUGCUACAAUGGUGUCACAUUCAUGUGCGUAGGUAUUAAACAUGCGCAUCUUCAGAUACACUCGAAAACUACGAUUCAUGCAACAUUGUUCAGUCACUGUUCGAGGUAUGCUCGGUAGAGUAUAUUGUCUACCUACAACACAACAAUCAUUCGAUUUUCAAUGCAUUAUAGUGGAUAUCGCGGCUGAAUGUAACAUUUCCCGAGGAAUCUAGACUACUCUGUUUACUUAAGUUAUUUGCGCUUCAAGUAUAUUCCAUGAUCGGAGUAGUGAAUCAUUGCCAGAGGAAGAGAACUUGUUUACUUUCCACCUCCUUCAUCUACCUGGUAGGGUCUACAACGGGGAAUAUUGAUCAGUUGCCACGCAGCUAAUAUCAGGACAUCAUGACGAGGGGAGUGUAAGCUUCACAUCAGCUCGAUUGGUCGGGUGUAUCGAAAAUACUAAGUGAUCUGGUUCUCAUUUAGACACUAUUUACAUGAACACUUGUGGCUAGGCAUUUAUAGCGAGGAAUUUAUAGCGAGGCAUCACAUACAGUAAUAGAGGAGGAAAGUGCCCGUCGGUAUUAGACCCUUCAAUAAUCUUAUUAUGCAUGAAACCUUCCCGUUUAUUCAUAUAAGAUUCCAAAGAGGAAUUCCAUGGCUUCGUUUUUAGAAUUUUGUGGAUUAACCAGCAUGCCCUAGCAUCAAAACCAGAACUGCCAUGCCCAUUCCACAAACAGACACUAGUACAGGUACCACGAGGGGCUAUCCUACUUUAGGAACAGUAAAGGACGAUCCCUUGUUCUGCACUGCAGAAAGAUCACAAAAACAAAUAACAAGUAACAGGUCUAACAUAGUCGCCACCAACGCGACCUGCAGGCAGGUCCAACGACCCCCACAGCAAAGACGGUCAAAUCUCGGGUGGCUUUCCCAGUGAACAGUUGCAUCUCUCCCGGCCGCAAACAGUAUCAUCCUUCAGUGUCUUCCCCUUCGUCAACCUCCUCGCAGUAACCUUCUCACCAGUAACCCAAACCCAGAACCGAGAUUUCGAGCAAUAGAGCCGUCAGAUCUCAGUCCCGGAGUGCUUCCCAAAACCACCAGAGGUUUCAACCACCUUAACGGCUUCAGUACUCGGGUUGGCGGUCGUUCCUCCAG
rnacentral:lncRNA from 1 species